rnacentral:piRNA from 1 species
UAACCUGUUUUACCAAUGUUUGAAGGAAUU